rnacentral:rRNA from 1 species
CGGUGUAGCAGUGAAAUGCGUAGAUAUCGUGAGGAAGACCGGUGCCGAAGGCGAGUCUCUGGACAGAUCCUGACGCUUGAGGCACGAAGGCUGGGGGAGCGAACAGGAUUAGAUACCCUGGUAGUCCCAGCAGUAAACGAUGUGAGCUUGAUGUGGGGGGAUUCGACCCCUUCCGUGUCGAAGCUAACGCGAUAAGCUCACCGCCUGAGGAGUACGGCCGCAAGGCUAAAACUCAAAGAAAUUGACGGGGACCCGCACAAGCGGUGGAGUAUGUGGCUUAAUUCGAUGCAACGCGAAGAACCUUACCUGGCCCUGACAUGCAUUGUGUCGUCGGUGAAAGCCGGCUGGUCCUGGAAACAGGACGCUUUGCACAGGUGCUGCAUGGCUGUCGUCAGCUCGUGUCGUGAGAUGUUGGGUUAAGUCCCGCAACGAGCGCAACCCUUGUGGUCAGUUACUAACCGGCUUAGCCGGAGGACUCUGGCCAGACUGCCCUGUCAAACGGGGAGGAAGGUGGGGACGACGUCAAGUCAGUAUGGCCCUUAUGGCCAGGGCUGCACACGUACUACAAUGCCCGGUACAAUGUGAACCGAAACCGCGAGGUGGAGGAAAUCGCUCUUGAAAACCGGGCCCAGUUCGGAUUGGAGUCUGCAACUCGACUCCAUGAAGUCGGAAUCGCUAGUAAUGGCGUAUCAGCAACGACGCCGUGAAUACGUUCCCGGGUC